rnacentral:rRNA from 1 species
UACGAAGGGGGGCUAGCGUUGCUCGGAAUCACUGGGUGUAAAGGGUGCGUAGGCGGGUCUUUAAGUCAGGGGGUGAAAUCCUGGAGCUCAACUCCAGAACUGCCUUUGAUACUGAGGAUCUUGAGUUCGGGAGAGGUGAGUGGAACUGCGAGUGUAGAGGUGAAAUUCGUAGAUAUUCGCAAGAACACCAGUGGCGAAGGCGGCUCACUGGCCCGAUACUGACGCUGAGGCACGAAAGCGUGGGGAGCAAACAGG